rnacentral:rRNA from 1 species
GUGCCAGCAGCCGCGGUAAUACGAAAGGGGCUAGCGUUGCUCGGAAUUAUUGGGCGUAAAGGGCGCGUAGCGCGUGCGUUAAGUCAGAGGUGAAAGCCCAGGGCUCAACCUUGGAAUUGCCUUUGAUACUGGCUGUCUUGAGUUCGGGAGAGGUGAGUGGAAUGCCGAGUGUAGAGGUGAAAUUCGUAGAUAUUCGGCGGAACACCAGUGGCGAAGGCGACUCACUGGCCCGAUACUGACGCUGAGGCGCGAAAGCGUGGGGAGCAAACAGGAUUAGAUACCCUGGUAGUCCACGCUGUAAACGAUGAGUGCUAGUUGUCGGCAGGCAUGCCUGUCGGUGACGCAGCUAACGCAUUAAGCACUCCGCCUGGGGAGUACGGUCGCAAGAUUAAAACUCAAAUGAAUUGGCGG